rnacentral:rRNA from 1 species
AUUGAACGCUGGCGGCAGGCUUAACACAUGCAAGUCGAGCGCCCCGCAAGGGUAGCGGCAGACGGGUGAGUAACACGUGGGAACGUGCCUUUUGGUUCGGAACAACCCAGGGAAACUUGGGCUAAUACCGGAUAAGCCCUUACGGGGAAAGAUUUAUCGCCAAAAGAUCGGCCCGCGUCUGAUUAGCUAGUUGGUGGGGUAAUGGCCCACCAAGGCUACGAUCAGUAGCUGGUCUGAGAGGAUGAUCAGCCACAUUGGGACUGAGACACGGCCCAAACUCCUACGGGAGGCAGCAGUGGGGAAUAUUGGACAAUGGGGGCAACCCUGAUCCAGCCAUGCCGCGUGAGUGAUGAAGGCCUUAGGGUUGUAAAGCUCUUUUAGCAGGGAAGAUAAUGACGGUACCUGCAGAAAAAGCCCCGGCUAACUUCGUGCCAGCCGCCGCCGUAA